rnacentral:pre_miRNA from 1 species
AUGUCCUAAGAACGCGUGGGCUGGUGUGGGCUGAAUCCAUGUGGUUUUAGGACACGA